UGUUCACGCAGUGACGGUAUCCAACCAGAAAGUCACGGCUAACUACGUGCCAGCAGCCGCGGUAAUACGUAGGUGGCAAGCGUUAUCCGGAUUUAUUGGGCGUAAAGCGAGCGCAGGCGGUUGCUUAGGUCUGAUGUGAAAGCCUUCGGCUUAACCGAAGAAGUGCAUCGGAAACCGGGCGACUUGAGUGCAGAAGAGGACAGUGGAACUCCAUGUGUAGCGGUGGAAUGCGUAGAUAUAUGGAAGAACACCAGUGGCGAAGGCGGCUGUCUGGUCUGCAACUGACGCUGAGGCUCGAAAGCAUGGGUAGCGAACAGGAUUAGAUACCCUGGUAGUCCAUGCCGUAAACGAUGAGUGCUAGGUGUUGGAGGGUUUCCGCCCUUCAGUGCCGGAGCUAACGCAUUAAGCACUCCGCCUGGGGAGUACGACCGCAAGGUUGAAACUCAAAGGAAUUGACGGGGGCCCGCACAAGCGGUGGAGCAUGUGGUUUAAUUCGAAGCUACGCGAAGAACCUUACCAGGUCUUGACAUCUUGCGCUAACCUUAGAGAUAAGGCGUUCCCUUCGGGGACGCAAUGACAGGUGGUGCAUGGUCGUCGUCAGCUCGUGUCGUGAGAUGUUGGGUUAAGUCCCGCAACGAGCGCAACCCUUGUUACUAGUUGCCAGCAUUAAGUUGGGCACUCUAGUGAGACUGCCGGUGACAAACCGGAGGAAGGUGGGGACGACGUCAGAUCAUCAUGCCCCUUAUGACCUGGGCUACACACGUGCUACAAUGGACGGUACAACGAGUCGCAAGCUCGCGAGAGUAAGCUAAUCUCUUAAAGCCGUUCUCAGUUCGGACUGUAGGCUGCAACUCGCCUACACGAAGUCGGAAUCGCUAGUAAUCGCGGAUCAGCAUGCCGCGGUGAAUACGUUCCCGGGCCUUGUACACACCGCCCGUCACACCAUGGGAGUUUGUAACGCCCAAAGUCGGUGGCCUAACCUUUAUGGAGGGAGCCGCCUAAGGCGGGACAGAUGACUGGGGUGAAGUCGUAACAAGGUAGCCGUAGGAGAACCUGCGGCUGGAUCACCUCCUUUCUAAGGAA
rnacentral:rRNA from 1 species